rnacentral:lncRNA from 1 species
ACACACAUUACUUGUCAUAACAGUUUCACAUUUUACAACUCAACAUACAUUAGACAAAAUUUCACAAUAAAACAAAAAGUAUAAAGAAGGCUUACACUUGGAACUUAGGAUUGGGGUUUAGCCUAUUGCUAAGCUCCCGGUUAAUGCUACGAAUACCAACAACGACUCCAGGCACUCAUCGAUCACGCUUCCGCUUACUAGGCGAAAGGUCAAACAAGCUUUUCCUUGCAUUUAGACUUCCUCGUAGUGGCUCCAUAUUGAUCCAAAACUUUACACACAUAACAAACACAUUCUAAAAUCAUUAAAAACAACCUUGAACACAACCAAACAACAAGGAAAACACCAUCCAAGCCUCUCAUUUCUCGUUACCGAAAACUAGCUAGUUUUACCGAAAUUAAAGUUUUGACACUCCUAAUAUCAUUUUUAAUCCUCAAUUUUGAUUUCAAACAUCGCAAACAUCAUUUAAUUUCAUAUCUAAACCAUUAAUUUCACCUAAAUCUAUAGUUCUAAAAUUUCCAAAAAAUUCAAGCUUUCAAAGACAUGUAAAAGGGAAAAAUGUUUGAUUAUUGAAAAUUCAGUUAUGAACUAUCAAAUUGAAGUGGAAUACCUUCUAAUUAGGUUAGAAUGAAUCAAAAGUCACUUUGAAAACACAUGUUUACUCAAGGUUAUGAUAUUUGCUAUUUUUGAAUCCAAGCUUGCUUUAAAAACAUCAAAUCUAAAUAAUUCUUCAUACAAUCGUUUAAAACUCAAAUUGAAUUAACAACACUCUUUCUUUAACCUUAAAAAGUUAGAAUAUUACCUUAAUUCGAUGAAAAUGAUGAUUUAGAACUUUAAUUUUGGAUUUGAACUCAAGAAGAACAAUGAAAAUUUUGGGAAAGAAAAUGCGAUUUUUCUUUGAAAUUGGAUGUUAUUUUGGUGUUUGGGAGGUUAAUAAAUAUAAAAUGAUAAAUCAAUUUUGAAAGAAACCCUUUCUUUUAGCUUUAGGGAAAAUUUGAAUAGUUUAGGGUUUAAGAGAGGGAAUAAGACGUGAAUGACUCCAUGUAAAUGACCAAGUUUCAAAAAUUGGGAAAUUUACCCUUUUGGUCACUCCCUGUUUCUCCCCUUUUCCAUUAGGUCCUAAUUCAAUUAGAAUCCAUUUUUUUUCAAAUUAGACUUCAAAAUUAAAUUUUUAAGUUAUUUAAUAAAAUAAAAACUAGAUUACGUUACUUUAAUACUUUAAUUACUUACUUACGACCCUAAUUUCUAGUAUCUAACUCAACUAACUCGAUUUUGCUAACCCAAAACUAUUACGUUGGGUUUUGGGAUGUGGCAAACUUAAAAAAAUGUGGCUUUGAUGGUCUCCAUCUUUCUGAUUGAACCCGCCUUUCAGGUAAACAAACAUUUGUCUCAUCAAUAUCCUAUAUAUAUGAUAUGAUAAAAUGUACCGUUUCUGUGUUUGGUUGAUGUCUCCCUUCAUGCACCUGUCUGUUUUUGUCCCCCCAAAUAGCCCAGAUUACACAUGUUAUUUCCUUGCACUUAUCCUUAGAAUGCACAAAGAACAAAUAGUCCAUCCACUAUCAGUAUCUCUCAUUCGGCUGUCCUCCCAAAUAGCCCAGAUUGCACAUGUUAUUUCUUUGCACUUAUCCUUAGAAUGCACAAGGAACAACCAAACCAUCCAUUGUUUGUAUCUCUCAUUAGACUAAUCUUUAGGCCAUUGGAUUUUUAACUUACUCCAUAAAUAGAUAAUAUUUUGUAAAUAAAAGAAGUUAGAUUCAUAAUUAAGUAAUGAUACAAUGUUAUAAAAAGUAUUUUUAUACAAAGUAAAAAAAUAAAUCAUAAUGAUUUGUUUGUUUAUGUCCUCUUUUAUUUCAUCAAAAGAAACAAAAUCAUAAAAUAAAACAGUUUAGUGAAUUGGAGAAGUUAUUUCUUUUUUUGGUAAUGAUUUGUUUGUUUAUGUGCUCUUUUAUUUCAUCAAAAGAAACAAAAUCAUAAAAUAAAACAAUUUAGUGAAUUGGAGAAGUUAUUUCUUUUUUUCUUUUUUGGUGAAAAGAAACAAAUUACAAAAAACUAAUUAAGUUAAUUUCUCUAAGAGAGAAUCUUCAAACAGUCUAAGGCCUCAUCUCUUAUCGCGAACCAUCUUGACAAGUUCAUUUGUGAUUUUAUUCUCCUUGCAAAGAUAUAUUGAAUUUUCCAUUGUCUUACUAAAUCCAAUAGCUAGUGAAUUCUCUUGAUAAAAUACGAAUUAGAAUCCCCAACGAUACAUCUUGAAUUGCAUUAACGGGUUCAAGACUAUUAGUCUGAAUUAGAACACUACCAUAAUCCCGUUGCAGAGUAAGCUUCAAAACAUCUAGGAUACCCUAGAGUUCGGCGUCAACAACCAUGCACAUGCCUAAAUAUCUACUAAAAUAGAAGAUAUAGUCCUCAUUGUGGUUACAUACAAAUCCUCGGGCAACAACAAAACUGUCCUCAUUUCUAACCAAACCAUCUGUAGUCAGGUGUACGUAAUUCUUUGUUGGAUCCGGUCCUACAACGAGACUUUGUGAACCAUACUUAAAAGAUUUGGAAACAAAAGUGAAUUAGUUUUCCCAACUAAUAGAAACCAUGAUGAUUUCAUUAAUAUUCCAUAAGGAACCCUGGAAAAUGUAGAGGUUACGGUUUUUCUAAAUGCGCUAAGAAAUCAUCCCAAAAAGGCAUGGCGAAUCAACUCAUUUCAGACAAAAAAAAACCAUUAAUUAAGAAGGUUCCUUGGUAUCCAUUCAUAAAGAGGUUUAAAGUAAAAAAUAGAUAUCUUAUUUGUAGGGAUGAGCUUAUUCCAAAUAUCUCUAGCCACAAGGCAAUCCCUAAGAACAUGUAAUACAUUCUUGAUACCAAAUCCACAUAUUACACAUGCACUGUCAUUUCCUAUUCCUCUUAUUACCUUUUUCAUGUUUGUUAGUAAGUGUUCUUUAAAAGCAAGCCAUAGAAAGUAUCUAACUCAUUGAGGUCCUUGGGACUUCCACAGUAACUACCAAAUGGGUUCUUUUGAAUUCCAAAAGCUUGUUGAAGCUCUUGGAACUUUUGAAUUCCAAAUGGGAGCUUUUGAAUUCCAAGCUCUUGGAAAUUUUGAGGGAAAAGGAACCUAUCUAAGUGCCCCCCAAACGAUCCUAUCAGGUCUAAAUAAAAAAUAAAGAGGUGGGAUUCCAAUAAUUGUAUUGAUGAUGUCUUCAUUAACCCAUAAUCUGAAGAAGUCUAAGUUCUAAGAGCUGUCAUCCGUAACCAUAUUACUAAUAGGACAAUUCAUGUCAAAAUUAGUGCAAGAAGAAAUCUGUUUAAACAAGAGACUGAUAUUCGAAAUCCAAGGGUCUUGCAAACAAUUUAUACAAUUCCUAUCACCUACUAACCAAAUUAAAAUUUCUCGAACAAGAGGCCAUACCUUUGUGAGGGAUCUCCAUAAAAAGGAACAUCUCCCAUUCCUUAGAGAUUUAGGUAAUCUGUUUUGAACCCCGUACUUCAAUCUGAGGACCCUAACCCAAAGGGCAUUGGAAUUGGUCAUAACAUUGAAA